GGAUUGUGGCUCAGUGGUAGUGUACUUGCCUUAUGUGUGAGGCACUGGGUUCAAUUCUCAGCACCA
rnacentral:tRNA from 1 species